GUACCUGCGCGGGGGCGCCGGCAUCGCGGGUGUCGUCAGCGUCCACGGGGGCCUGGACGUCGUCGGGUCCGACUGGUCCGAGGCCGGUCGGGCACC
rnacentral:tRNA from 1 species